rnacentral:rRNA from 1 species
UACGUAGGGGGCAAGCGUUGUCCGGAAUUAUUGGGCGUAAAGAGCGCGUAGGCGGUCCGAUAAGUCGGCUGUGAAAGUCAGGGGCUCAACCCUUGGAAGCCGGCCGAUACUGUCGGACUAGAGUCCGGAAGAGGCGAGUGGAAUUCCCGGUGUAGCGGUGAAAUGCGCAGAUAUCGGGAGGAACACCAAUGGCGAAGGCAGCUCGCUGGGACGGUACUGACGCUGAGGCUGCGAAAGCGUGGGGAGCAAACAGG